rnacentral:rRNA from 1 species
UACGUAGGGAGCAAGCGUUGUCCGGAUUUAUUGGGCGUAAAGGGCUCGUAGGCGGUCUGUUGAGUCAGUUGUGAAAUCUCCGAGCUUAACUCGGAACUGUCAGCUGAUACUGUCGGGCUAGAGUGCGGAAGAGGCGAGUGGAAUUCCCGGUGUAGCGGUGAAAUGCGCAGAUAUCGGGAGGAACACCAAUUGCGAAGGCAGCUCGCUGGGACGUUACUGACGCUGAGACGCGAAAGCGUGGGGAGCAAACAGG